rnacentral:rRNA from 1 species
GACGAACGCUGGCGGCGUGCUUAACACAUGCAAGUCGAACGGAAAGGCCCUGCUUUUGUGGGGUGCUCGAGUGGCGAACGGGUGAGUAACACGUGAGUAACCUGCCCUUGACUUUGGGAUAACUUCAGGAAACUGGGGCUAAUACCGGAUAGGAGCUCCUGCUGCAUGGUGGGGGUUGGAAAGUUUCGGCGGUUGGGGAUGGACUCGCGGCUUAUCAGCUUGUUGGUGGGGUAGUGGCUUACCAAGGCUUUGACGGGUAGCCGGCCUGAGAGGGUGACCGGCCACAUUGGGACUGGGAUACGGCCCAGACUCCUACGGGAGGCAGCAGUGGGGAAUAUUGCACAAUGGGCGGAAGCCUGAUGCAGCAACGCCGCGUGCGGGAUGACGGCCUUCGGGUUGUAAACCGCUUUCGCCUGUGACGAAGCGUGAGUAACGGUAAUGGGUAAAGAAGCACCGGCUAACUACGUGCCAGCAGCCGCGGUGAUACGUAGGGUGCGAGCGUUGUCCGGAUUUAUUGGGCGUAAAGGGCUCGUAGGUGGUUGAUCGCGUCGGAAGUGUAAUCUUGGGGCUUAACCCUGAGCGUGCUUUCGAUACGGGUUGACUUGAGGAAGGUAGGGGAGAAUGGAAUUCCUGGUGGAGCGGUGGAAUGCGCAGAUAUCAGGAGGAACACCAGUGGCGAAGGCGGUUCUCUGGGCCUUUCCUGACGCUGAGGAGCGAAAGCGUGGGGAGCGAACAGGCUUAGAUACCCUGGUAGUCCACGCUGUAAACGGUGGGUACUAGGUGUGGGGUCCAUUCCACGGGUUCCGUGCCGUAGCUAACGCUUUAAGUACCCCGCCUGGGGAGUACGGCCGCAAGGCUAAAACUCAAAGGAAUUGACGGGGCCCCGCACAAGCGGCGGAGCAUGCGGAUUAAUUCGAUGCAACGCGUAGAACCUUACCUGGGUUUGACAUGGAUCGGGAGUGCUCAGAGAUGGGUGUGCCUCUUUUGGGGUCGGUUCACAGGUGGUGCUUGGCUGUCGUCAGCUCGUGUCGUGAGAUGUUGGGUUAAGUCCCGCAACGAGCGCAACCCUUGUUCACUGUUGCCAGCACGUUAUGGUGGGGACUCAGUGGAGACCGCCGGGGUCAACUCGGAGGAAGGUGGGGAUGACGUCAAGUCAUCAUGCCCCUUAUGUCCAGGGCUUCACGCAUGCUACAAUGGCUGGUACAGAGAGUGGCGAGCCUGUGAGGGUGAGCGAAUCUCGGAAAGCCGGUCUCAGUUCGGAUUGGGGUCUGCAACUCGACCUCAUGAAGUCGGAGUCGCUAGUAAUCGCAGAUCAGCAACGCUGCGGUGAAUACGUUCCCGGG